UUGUAGCCUCCGACCAAGAAACUUAGGUCCAGAAACCAACCACCCACCGCCCCAUAGAUCCUGACUGCCACAUCAAAUUCCUUACCGACUCAACGCCAUAACACAAACCACGGCGAUGGCGGAGCUGCUCGAUCUCGAUGAAGAUGGAGUCGGAGCUUCACAAUACAAAUCCAAUUUGUGGUUCUACUGAUGAGGAAGUAGAAGUCAAUUUGAAUUAUGUCUUGAAGAGGUGCAAUCAUACAUCUUAGUGGAAAAGGUCUCUCAAGGAUAACAAUGUAGUCUUGGCUCUGAGGCGCACAAGUUUGUUCGUGCAGAGGUAGGUAUGUGAAGAAUUGGGGAUGUUAGUUGAUAGAGAUGAUGAGAUUUUCACUAAGCUAGUUGGAGAUAGGUAUGUGAUAAUCUUCACUACAUUUCUGGGGGUUAGUAACAUCAGUAACAUGAUUAUUGGGGUCAAUAGCGUUUAUUGAGGGUAAGUAACAUGAUUAUUGAGAGUUAAUAGUUUUAUUAUUGUGAGUUA